GCUUUCUUAGCUCAGCCGGUAGAGCGCUUGUCUUGUAAACAAGAGGUCACUGGUUCGAUUCCAGUAGAAAGCA